rnacentral:rRNA from 1 species
GGGGAAUAUUGGACAAUGGGCGAAAGCCUGAUCCGGCCAUGCCGCGUGUGUGAAGAAGGCCUUUUGGUUGUAAAGCACUUUAAGUGGGGAGGAAAAGUUGACGGUUAACACCCGCCAGCCCUGACGUUACCCACAGAAUAAGCACCGGCUAACUCUGUGCCAGCAGCCGCGGUAAUACAGAGGGUGCAAGCGUUAAUCGGAAUUACUGGGCGUAAAGCGAGCGUAGGUGGUCAUUUAAGUCAGAUGUGAAAUCCCCGGGCUUAACCUGGGAACUGCAUCUGAUACUGGGUGACUAGAGUAGGUGAGAGGGAAGUAGAAUUCCAGGUGUAGCGGUGAAAUGCGUAGAGAUCUGGAGGAAUACCGAUGGCGAAGGCAGCUUCCUGGCAUCAUACUGACACUGAGGUUCGAAAGCGUGGGUAGCAAACAGGAUUAGAUACCCUGGUAGUCCACGCCGUAAACGAUGUCUACCAGUCGUUGGGUCUCUUGAAGACUUAGUGACGCAGUUAACGCGAUAAGUAGACCGCCUGGGGAGUACGGCCGCAAGGUUA